rnacentral:lncRNA from 1 species
CGCAGUUCAUGUCACCAGAAGGGAAAAAUUCAGCCUCUCUCUGGAUUGGGAGUAAAUGCCUCAAGGCCACCUUCAGCAAAGCAGGUGAACAGCUAAAGGAUUUCUGUGUCCUUUCCCACCUUUCACCUUUCUCCAUCCCUGCCACUCCUACCCCAUAUCCUCCCGGCACCCCAGCAAAACCCAAUUCACGUAAGUCCUUCAAAUAAGGCCCGUGGGCCGAGUGCGGUGGCUCACGCCUGUAAUACCAGCACUUUGGGAGGCUGAGGCAGUCGAUCACCUGAGGUUGGGAGUCGAGACCAGCUUGGCCAAUGAAACCGCCGUCUCUACAAAAAAUACAAAAAUCAGCCGGGCGCGGUGGCGCAUGUCUGUAAUCCUGGCUACUUGGGAGGCUGAGGCACGAGAAUCACUUGAACCUGUGAGGCGGACGUUGCAGUUGGCAGACA